rnacentral:rRNA from 1 species
AGAGUUUGAUCAUGGCUCAGGACGAACGCUGGCGGCGUGCUUAACACAUGCAAGUCGAACGGAAAGCUCCCUUUGGGGGGACUCGAGUGGCGAACGGGUGAGUAACACGUGGGUGAUCUGCCCUGCACUUUGGGAUAAGCCUGGGAAACUGGGUCUAAUACCGGAUAGGACUACGGCCUGCAUGGGUUGUGGUGGAAAGCUUUUGCGGUGUGGGAUGGGCCCGCGGCCUAUCAGCUUGUUGGUGGGGUGAUGGCCUACCAAGGCUUCGACGGGUAGCCGGCCUGAGAGGGUGUCCGGCCACACUGGGACUGAGAUACGGCCCAGACUCCUACGGGAGGCAGCAGUGGGGAAUAUUGCACAAUGGGCGCAAGCCUGAUGCAGCGACGCCGCGUGGGGGAUGACGGCCUUCGGGUUGUAAACCUCUUUCACCAUCGACGAAGCCGUGAGGUGACGGUAGGUGGAGAAGAAGCACCGGCCAACUACGUGCCAGCAGCCGCGGUAAUACGUAGGGUGCGAGCGUUGUCCGGAAUUACUGGGCGUAAAGGGCUUGUAGGUGGUUUGUCGCGUUGUUCGUGAAAUGCCACAGCUUAACUGUGGGCGUGCGGGCGAUACGGGCAGACUGGAGUACUGCAGGGGAGACUGGAAUUCCUGGUGUAGCGGUGGAAUGCGCAGAUAUCAGGAGGAACACCGGUGGCGAAGGCGGGUCUCUGGGCAGUAACUGACGCUGAGGAGCGAAAGCGUGGGGAGCGAACAGGAUUAGAUACCCUGGUAGUCCACGCCGUAAACGGUGGGUACUAGGUGUGGGUUUCCUUCCUUGGGAUCCGUGCCGUAGCUAACGCAUUAAGUACCCCGCCUGGGGAGUACGGCCGCAAGGCUAAAACUCAAAUGAAUUGACGG